UAUUGGUUGGCACUCUGUCCACUUAAAUCUUUAGCUAUUUUAUGUAUUUUCUUUCACAUUUUGUUUUCUAGUUGGCCAGAGGAAAUUGAUCGUAAACAUGCUGAGCUGGUUGCUGCAAAAGUAGCAUUGGAAAACCUUCACCGGCGGGAUCAGUUACUGAAGAUGGAGAAAGAAAUGUUGAAGAUGGAGAACGUAAAUCAUAAGAAGAAGGUGGUGGAACUUGAGGGGGAGGUAAAGAAGCUGUCUGGCCAGCAAAUUAUCCAGCAGCGUAUACACAUCAUCAUGCAAGAAUCAAGGCAAGAUAUAUAUUUUCUGUAAUGUGUUCUGUUUACAUUGAAAAUAUGCUAAUUAAAUUUACGAGGAUUUUGACCUGCUAACUUGUGCAUCAUAACACGAGGAGAUGGUGCAUCGUCAGUAAAUGGGCCACAGACCGUUCUACUUUAAGGAAGAAAUGACUGUUUCAAUUGAGAAAAAGGAAACAUCCCAUUAAUUAGUUCUCUCGCAGGUCACAGCGCAGCACCGCUUUAUUACAGUUUGAUACUCGUGCCUGCCUGGAAUAACAUUCAUGUUUCACACCUUCUCACCAUCUAAUCAUUAUGAAGUCCACGAAUUUUCGGGUGAAGUAAUUAAUUUCAUCAUGGCUAGAGUGAGAGGAAAAGGUAUAUCAAUUUUGAAAAAAAGAAACAAAAUACAAAGACAAUCAUGUAACUUUCAGCCUUUAUUUAAAGAUCAUAUUUUCAAUUUUCAA